GAUGGACGCUAGCGGCAGGCUUAAUACAUGCAAGUCGAGGGGUAGCAAGAUUGUAGCAAUACAAUUGUUGACGACCGGCAAACGGGUGCGGAACACGUACACAACCUUCCUACAAGUGGGGAAUAGCCCAGAGAAAUUUGGAUUAAUACCCCGUAACAUAGCGAUGUGGCAUCACAUUGCUAUUAUAGCUUCGGCGCUUGUUGAUGGGUGUGCGGCUGAUUAGAUAGUUGGCGGGGUAACGGCCCACCAAGUCUACGAUCAGUAGCUGAUGUGAGAGCAUGAUCAGCCACAAGGGCACUGAGACACGGGCCCGACUCCUACGGGAGGCAGCAGUAAGGAAUAUUGGACAAUGGACGCAAGUCUGAUCCAGCCAUGCCGCGUGAAGGAUUAAGGUCCUCUGGAUUGUAAACUUCUUUUAUAAGGGACGAAAAAAGGUCUUUCUAGAUCGUCUGACGGUACCUUAUGAAUAGGCACCGGCUAACUCCGUGCCAGCAGCCGCCGUAAUAC
rnacentral:rRNA from 1 species